rnacentral:rRNA from 1 species
CGUGUAGGCGGUGCGGUAAGUUGGGCGUGAAAUCCCCGAGCUUAACUCGGGUGGGCCGUUCAAGACUGCCGUGCUAGGGUGCGGGAGAGGGAAGUGGAAUUUCCGGUGUAGCGGUGAAAUGCGUAGAUAUCGGGAGGAACACCUGCGGCGAAGGCGGCUUCCUGGACCGUAACCGACGCUGAGGCGCGGAAGCUAGGGGAGCAAACAGGAUUAGAUACCCUGGUAGUCCUAGCCCUAAACGAUGAGCACUGGGUGUGGCCCCUCACGAGGCCGUGCCGAAGCUAACGCAUUAAGUGCUCCGCCUGGGGAGUACGGUCGCAAGGCUGAA